rnacentral:rRNA from 1 species
AGAGUUUGAUCCUGGCUCAGGAUUAACGCUGGCGGCAUGCCUUAUGCAUGCAAGUAGAACGAGUCUCGCAAGAGAUAAGUUGCGAACGGCUGAGUAAUGGAUAGGAAUCUCCCCAAUGGUGUGGAAUACCUCAUCGAAAGAUGGGCUAAUACCGCAUAACCUCGAAAGAGAAAAGCGCUUAACUGCGCACCGAUGGAUGAGCCUAUCUCCCAUCAGGCUGUUGGUAGGGUAAUGGCCUACCAAACCUAUGACGGGUAGGGGGCGUGAGAGCGCGUUCCCCCAGAAUGGGACUGAGACACGGCCCAUACACCUACGGGUGGCAGCAACAGGGAAUCGUACGCAAUGGACGAAAGUCUGACGUCGCAAUGCCGCGUGGAGGAUGAAGGCCUUCGGGUUGUAAACUCCUUUUAUAGUAAUAGAAAUGUUAUUAAGAAUAAGCACCUGCUAACUCUGUGCCAGCAGCCGCGGUAAUACAGAGGGUGCAAGCGUUAUCCGGAUUUAUUGGGCGUAAAGCGUUUCGUAGGCUUUUAGGUAAGUUACUCUUCAAAGACCACGGCUCAACCGAGGGAAGGGGAGUAAUACUGCCUGAAUUGAAAUAUGGUGGGGCUUCUGGAACUGAUGGUGUAGAAGUGAAAUUUGUUGAUAUCAUCAGGAACUCCGAGGGCGAAGGCAGGAAGCUAAUCAUUUUUUGACGCUGAGGAACGACAGCUAGGGGAGCGAAAGGGAUUAGAGACCCCUGUAGUCCUAGCCGUAAACUUUGCUCGCUAGGGGUUAGUGGUUUACCACUGGCCCCGUAAGCUAACGCGUUAAGCGAGCCGCCUGGGGAGUACGGCCGCAAGGCUAAAACUCAAAGGAAUUGACGGGGACCCGCACAACCAGUGGAGCAUGUGGUUUAAUUCGAGACAAAACGAAGGACCUUACCCAGCUUUGACAUACUACCGUUUUACGAUUUCAGAAAUGAGAACGGAUCCGAAUUUAUUUGGAUGGUAGUACAGGUGUUGCAUGGCCGUCGUCAGCUCGUGCCGUAGGGUGUUCCCUUCAGUGGGGUAACGAGCGCAACCCUUUUCCUGUGUUGAAUAUUCACAGGAGACUUCCUAAAUUUAUUUUAGGAGGAAGUGAGGAUGAUGUCAGGUCAGCAUGGCCCUUAUAGCUGGGGCAACACACAUGCUACAAUGGAGCCGACAGAGGGUAGCCAAGCCGCAAGGCGGAGCUAAUCCCAAAAACGGCUUCUCAGUGGGGAUUGGGGGCUGCAACUCGCCCCCAUGAACGCGGAAUUGGUAGUAAUCGCGCAUCAGCUAUGGCGCGGUGAAUACGUUCUCGGGUCUUGUACACACCGCCCGUCA